ACCAUGACAACCAGCGAGCGGGCAGACGCCUCUCCUUCGCUAUGAGUGCCGGACUGCUGCAGCAAGAAAACCCCAUAAAACUCAGCACAGAUGGAGAAGAAGUUGAACGAACAGCCGAUGAAUCUAAGGAGGAGACACAGGACGACUUGGAGAUCAUCAACGACGCCAUCCAUAUGAACGGCGGCGACGAAGAUGAGGACGACGAAGAGGAAAUGACGGACCGAGAGCGGGGCGAGAAGAUCAUAGACAUUCUCAUUCCUCCAUGCGAG